AAACUUAAAGGAAUUGACGGGACCCGCACAAGCGGUGGAUGAUGUGGAUUAAUUCGAUGCAACGCGAAAACCUUACCCACCUUUGACAUGUACGGAACCCUUUAGAGAUAGAGGGGUGCUCGAAAGAGAGCCGUAACACAGGUGCUGCAUGGCUGUCGUCAGCUCGUGUCGUGAGAUGUUGGGUUAAGUCCCGCAACGAGCGCAACCCUUGUCAUUAGUUGCUACAUUCAGUUGGGCACUCUAAUGAGGCUGCCGGUGACAAGCCGGAGGAAGGUGGGGAUGACGUCAAGUCCUCAUGGCCCUUAUAGGUGGGGCUACACACGUCAUACAAUGGCUGGUACAAAGGGUUGCCAACCCGCGAGGGGGAGCCAAUCCCAUAAAGCCAGUCGUAGUCCGGAUCGUAGUCUGCAACUCGACUACGUGAAGUCGGAAUCGCUAGUAAUCGUGGAUCAGAAUGUCACGGUGAAUACGUUCCCGGGUCUU
rnacentral:rRNA from 1 species